GUUAACCAAAAAUGGGAAAUACUUCUGUUCACAAACCCAACCAUCUACCUGUGAGGACUUCUCCCUCCAUGAAUAUCUUUGAAGGAAAGGUCUUAUGACAGCAUUUGUGGAAGACAUCACAGAGCAGGUGCAAUCUUACAUAUUUCGGUGGAGAAAUCAGAGAACAAGCUUCAAGCUCAGUAAACUUUAUUUAUUACAAAGAUACAGUUAUUUCAACUUAUCUUAAUCACCAUCUUUAUUUCUAGAUGU